GAGACAGUUCGGUCCCUAUCUGCCGUGGGCGCUGGAGAAUUGAGGGGGGCUGCUCCUAGUACGAGAGGACCGGAGUGGACGCAUCACUGGUGUUCGGGUUGUCAUGCCAAUGGCACUGCCCGGUAGCUAAAUGCGGAAGAGAUAAGUGCUGAAAGCAUCUAAGCACGAAACUUGCCCCGAGAUGAGUUCUCCCUGACUCCUUGAGAGUCCUGAAGGAACGUUGAAGACGACGACGUUGAUAGGCCGGGUGUGUAAGCGCAGCGAUGCGUUGAGCUAACCGGUACUAAUGAACCGUGAGGCUUAACCUUACAACGCCGAAG
rnacentral:rRNA from 1 species